rnacentral:rRNA from 1 species
AUGAAACACUCCUACGGGAGGCAGCAGUGGGGAAUCUUAGACAAUGGGGGAAACCCUGAUCUAGCCAUGCCGCGUGAUCGAUGAAGGCCUUAGGGUUGUAAAGAUCUUUCAGAUGGGAAGAUAAUGACGGUACCAUCAGAAGAAGCCCCGGCUAACUCCGUGCCAGCAGCCGCGGUAAUACGGAGGGGGCUAGCGUUAUUCGGAAUUACUGGGCGUAAAGCGCACGUAGGCGGACUGAAAAGUCAGAGGUGAAAUCCCAGGGCUCAACCUCGGAACUGCCUUUGAAACUCUCAGUCUUGAGGUCGAGAGAGGUGAGUGGAAUUCCGAGUGUAGAGGUGAAAUUCGUAGAUAUUCGGAGGAACACCAGUGGCGAAGGCGGCUCACUGGCUCGAUACUGACGCUGAGGUGCGAAAGCGUGGGGAGCAAACAGGAUUAGAAACCCUUGUAGUCCGAAGUUC